rnacentral:rRNA from 1 species
UACGUAGGGACCAAGCGUUGUUCGGAUUUACUGGGCGUAAAGGGCGCGUAGGCGGCGUGGUAAGUCACUUGUGAAAUCUCCGAGCUUAACUCGGAACGGUCAAGUGAUACUGCUGUGCUAGAGUACAGAAGGGGCAAUCGGAAUUCUUGGUGUAGCGGUGAAAUGCGUAGAUAUCAAGAGGAACACCUGAGGUGAAGACGGGUUGCUGGGCUGAUACUGACGCUGAGGCGCGAAAGCGUGGGGAGCAAACAGG